UUUUCCUCCUCUAUUCUCUCUCAGGCACUCUCAAAUCCUAAAGCGGCAUCACUCAAAAACUCCCCAAACACCUUCGAUUCUUGACCAGAUAUGGGGUCAUCUGGUGAUUUAUUGCCUUAUCUAGCCUCUCACCUCUUCUGGUUGUUCGAUUAUGUUGAUUUAUAAAAGAAUCUCGAAGAGCUUCAACUCAGAUUUUCUUCAAAACCUUUUCAUAAGCUACCUAUGGCCAUCUUCAUUUGUGAGUACCAUUAUCUUCGUGUUUAUUACUCGAAUCUGUAGUUUUAAACCAGCUUUUCUUUCAUCUAUGCCAUUUUUUAAAAGCCUAAUCUUAUUCUACUUGGGUCUGUUCAGAUCCUUGUAGAUCUGAAAUGUUUAAGUGUUAUUUGGUCUUUCUCUUUGAAAAACCUUAUGUUUUUCCUUAUUACUAGUUGAUCCAUUGUGUUCUGAAAUUAGGGUUUUGUUUUAAGCUCUUUCCUAAAAGGUUUUAAAACUCCUAAGUGUUU
rnacentral:lncRNA from 1 species